GUAAGUGGUAACAUCCAGACCUGCCCCAACACCGGAACUUGUUUCUCAUCUCCGACGGGCAACUGAUAUAGGGGCUCAGGGAUCUGCCUCAUUUUCUCUGCUUUUGGGAGUGGAAGGGGACUGUUCUCACCAACAAUGAAACCUCUAACUGCACUGCAGUGGGAAAAAUAGUCCAGCUUGAGAGUGACCACCUAAUGGAAAUUUCCAGCUCGAGACUAUUGUGUGGUCCUGGCUUGGCCAGCAAUGGAUUUACAAAUGGCCAGAACUGAUUUCCAGACACAUGUGAAUACCCCUAGGGAUUCUUAGAAAAAACUGAGAAAAGAAUCCUGGAAGCAAAUCAUUUUUCUACAGCCAGGAAGGGUAUGUUUAUAACCCUGGUUUCCCUUGUACGAGCAGGCGAGUAGGAAUGCAGCAGGAAUUGAGGGGUAGGUUCCUGUCAAGCACCCGUGACUGUCCUUCCAGAGCCACCAGAUGAAGCCUGAAGACAGCGCCGUGAAAAUGGACCAACGAAUUCUGGCCCCCUCACAGAUAUCCUGCUCCUUGACAGAAUAAAUAAUGCAACGGCAGCUAGUACACUAGCUUUCAUUUUAGAGCAGCACAAAAACAUCUGUAGGGGAAAUAAACAAUCCCAUGCCUUUGGCGAAAGAGUUGGACAAAGUGAGUAUGGAAACCAAGUAAUCAAGCUGCCGGCUUGGAGGCGCUGACACACCCAUUCUUCUCUCGCUGCCGGAACAUCACUAAAAUGCAGGCAAGAAAUAAAAAGUGGCUCCAAGCCACGUGGCCAAAGACACCUGAAGAGGAGACGACAGCACACAACUGAUGUCAAUAAAAAUUGAGAGCCAAAAGGUAGAUUGCAGCUGAUUUAGAAGCCCAGGGAGAGCUGAAAUGUAAACUUGCAGCCGAGAGAGCCAAAAAAAAAAACUGUUUCCCCUAAAAGAUCUUGGAAAAACCCAGCUCUUUGAGUUCCAGCCCCCUUAGAAGGCAAGGAAAACAGGAGGACCAGUUGGAAGACUUUGUCUCCUUCGACCCCAGGAACUCCUCACUUCCUUACUCAUGCCAGCAUAACCUAGGAUGUCAUUUCCAAGCAGACAUUCGUCCCAGCCAGAUUGGCUCAACCAACUUGCUUACUUCUGCAUUUGCUAACAUCUACUAGAUGGUUUUUAAAUACAAAAAGACAUCUCCCUAAAGGCCCAUGACAAUAAGGUCUGGGCAAUAAACCCCAUCAACAAACAAGGAGACAGAAGAGCAGAAGGGGAGUUCCUGCCCCUGGAGGGACCUUGCGUGAGUUCAGGAAAAGACCCAGAGAAGCAACAGUCAUUUACAGCAGGCAUCAGAAGAACAUAGAGGUCUUCAUAAAGUCUAACACCAACUGGAACCUAAGAAGCAGACUGCAGUUCAGGAUGGGGACAUAUCAGGGAGGACACGACCCCUGUAACAGGGCUAAAGGAGGAAUCAGCAGACAGUGGGAAGGUUCGGCAGGUCCACCUUCAGAAGAGGACCAAAGUUACCUUUGAGGUUUCCACUCGAGAACCUAGAGGGAGUUAAAAACUAUAUCCAAGGGAUCAAGACAAUAAGAACUUCGUUAAGAUGCUGAGCUACUUACUGCUUCUCCAUCUUGGUAAUUUUUUUUGGUUACUGCUUUCCUUUUUCGAUCAGUAGUCAAGGGCCUUACAAACAAAAAGCUCUUCUGCGGUUGUCUUUGGAGGGUAUUAAUGUGGCAGCUUCUGAAGGAGAAGGGAAGUGGAGCUUCAGCAUGGCGGGCAAAGGAGACAACGGCUGCUGAGUGGGAUCUUAGGGGAAAACCUGGAGCUGCAGUAGAUAAUACAUCUCGGAGUUCCACCAACCUGGUGACAGAGCGUGUGGUUCUGCGACGCCUUUGCUCCAGAGG
ensembl:lncRNA